CAAAACUCCGAAUACCGUGGAGUACUAUCCGGGAGACAGACGGUCGGGUGGCUAACGUCCAUCGUCAAGAGGGAAACAACCCAGACGCCAGCUAAGGUCCCAAAUCCAUGGCGUAAAGUGGAAAACGAAGGUGGGAAGGCAUAGACAGCUAGGAGGUUGGCUUAGAAGCAGCCACCCUUUAAAGAAAGCGUAAUAGCUCACUAGUCGAGUCGUCCUGCGCGGAAGAUGUAACGGGGCUCAAGCCAUGAACCGAAGCUGCGGAUGCAUUUUAUGCAUGGUAGGGGAGCGUUCUGUAAGUCUGUGAAGGUGUCUUGUAAAGGAUGCUGGAGAUAUCAGAAGUGCGAAUGCUGACAUGAGUAGCGAUAAAGGGUGUGAAAAGCACCCUCGCCGAAAGCCCAAGGUUUCCUGCGCAACGUUCAUCGGCGCAGGGUGAGUCGGCCCCUAAGGCGAGGCAGAGAUGCGUAGUCGAUGGGAAACAGGUCAAUAUUCCUGUACCGAUUCUAGAUGCGAUGUGGGGA
rnacentral:rRNA from 1 species